UAGCUCAGUGGGAGAGCACUUGCCUAGUGUGCAUGAGGCCCUGGGUUCAACCCCCAG
rfam:Ictidomys tridecemlineatus contig074021, whole genome shotgun sequence.